UUUUUUUAAAAUAUACUGCAGUGCCAACAAAGAAUGUGCAAUGACAAGAAAUGAGUUAUUGUUUGAAAAUCAAAAAUGUUAAAUGUUCACAUUGUUUUUAUUUGAACAGCAAUUUUCAGAUCUCAGGACAAGUUUUCUUUGGAACACAUUAUAAAUUUUUGUUUUUCAAAUGAUUUCAACUGACAUAAACAAGACUGGAAAGGUCGAAAUUACCAAAAUGCUAAUUUCACUAUUAUUGGUUCUUUUGUCGUGCCCAGCUCUUAAUGAUGGAAAACCCUGUAUCACAGUAACAUUCCUUUAAAUGAACUGGAGAAGUCUUGAUUACAAUAAUCAUAUUGCUUUUUACUUUUCAACACUAUUGGAUCUUGUGUCAUACCAGCUUUAGAUGGUGGAUGGAGUAUAUGGAGGUGUUAAGAAUUGCACAAGAGGUGUUCCUGCUACCUCUCUAUAUGUAGACAAUGUCACUGUUGUUGUGACGUUCUUAUUUCUAAGCCUUAAUUUAUGUCCGUUACAACGCCCUUAGGGAGGAAAAACUACACCCUCAAAUGGACUGUAGAAGUCCAGAUUACAAUAAUGGUACUUUCAGCACCAUUGCACGGUUUGGUUGUCUUGCCCAGCUCUUAAUGGUCCAAAAUGCUGUACAAUGGAUUAUGUUUUAAAAAUUGAAGAUAAAAGAUUAAGUUUUGAAUAUCUUCUUUUUUUCUCUGAAGAUGGCAAAUCAAAUUAUUAAUUCACGAGCUCUAGAUAAUAAAAAUAUCAGGUGUUAAAGUUUGGAGGUAUAAACAAGUCAUUCUCAAUCAAAAUAUUGCAAAAUUGUAAUGUUAGUGGAUUUUCUCAUUGUUGAAGCCCAUACAGUAACCUAUUUUACAUUAACAUCAUUUGGUCUCUGUAGGAUAGUUGUCUCACAUCUCUUGAUAUCACAACAAAUCAAUUUGUAGGUUCUAUAAAGUGGGCCAAUGGUGAAGGUAGGGGAAAUUUUGACUGUCAAUCGAGGAGGAAAUUAUUGGACAGAAAUUUGGCCUAACGCAACAAGCCAAGUCCUACUAACACCUCAAAAGAGUUGUGACAAGGGUUCUUCAACGUGCAGAGUUGCACUGUCCCUACAGAAAGGACCUAUACUUUUUAAACUGCCAUUCCAAUUUUUUUUGUUUUAAAUAUGAGAACUUUAGAAGACUUAAAGGUGGGGGUCAUAAAAAUAUCAAAAUUAUCCCACCCUCAAUGUUUAUUAUCUAGAACUAUGUUUUCUAUUUUGCUUUCAUAUUAUUUUUUGGUAUUUUCUUUUUUAUAUUUUUUUUUCUUUUUUUUUUUACAAAGCUCUAGAUAAUAAAAAUAUCAGAUGUUAAAGUUUGGAGGUAUAAACAAGUCAUUCUAAAUCAGAAUAUUGCAAAAUUUUAAUGUUAGUGGAUUUUCUCAUUGUUGAAGCCCAUACAGUAACCUAUUUUACAUUAACAUCAUUUGGUCUCUGUAGGAUAGUUGUCUCACAUCUCUUGAUAUCACAACAAAUCAAUUUGUAGGUUCUAUAAAGUGGUCCAAUCCUAUGGUGAAGGGAGGGGGAAUUUUGACUGCCAACCGAAGAGGAUAUUUUUGGACAGAAAUUUAGCCUAUUAAUGCAACAAGCCACAUCCUACUGACACCUCAAAAGAGUUGUGACAAGGGUUCUUUAACGUGCAGAGUGGCACUGUCUGUCCCUACAAAUAGGACCUAUACUUUCCCGCUACCUCUAUGUGUAGACAACAUCACUGUUGUGACAUUCUUAUUUCUAAGCCUUAAUUUAUGUCCGUUACAACGCCCUUAGGGAGGAAAUAGUAGCAGAUAUUACUACACCCUCAAAUGGAUUGUAGAAGUCCAGUUUACAAUAAUGGUACUUUCAGCACCAUAACCCGCUUUGGUUGUCUUGUCCAGCUCUUAAUGGUCCAAAAUGCUGUACAAUGGAUUAUGAUUUAAAAAUUGAAGAUAAAAGAUUAAGUUUUGAAUAUAUCUACUUUUUUUCUUUGAAGAUGGCAAAUCAAAUUAUUAAUUCAUUAAAAAUUCAGAAUAACUCAAAUCUUUACACCACACAAACGCGCCAACAAAGAAUGUGCAAUGAAAAGAAUUGAGUUAUUGUUUGAAACAUCAAAAAUGUUAAAGUUUCACGCAUUGUUUUUUAUUUGAACAGCAAUUUUCAGAUCUCAGGACAAGUUUUCUUUGGAACACACUCAGGACAAGUUAUCUUUGGAAGACAUUAUAAAUUUCUGUUUUGCAAAAGAUUAAAAGUUUUGGAUACUUUCUUUUUUUCUUUGAAGAUAACAAAUCUAAUUAUUAAUUCAUUAAAAAUUCAGACUAACCCAAUUGUUUACACCACACAAACUUUCCGGAUAACAUAUUUAUUUUUUGUCCAUUCUUUUUUCUUUCUUUUUUUAAAAUAUACUGCAGUGCCAACAAAGAAUGUGCAAUGACAAGAAAUGAGUUAUUGUUUGAAAAUCAAAAAUGUUAAAUGUUCACAUUGUUUUUAUUUGAACAGCAAUUUUCAGAUCUCAGGACAAGUUUUCUUUGGAACACAUUAUAAAUUUUUGUUUUUCAAAUGAUUUCAACUGACAUAAACAAGACUGGAAAGGUCGAAAUUACCAAAAUGCUAAUUUCACUAUUAUUGGUUCUUUUGUCGUGCCCAGCUCUUAAUGAUGGAAAACCCUGUAUCACAGUAACAUUCCUUUAAAUGAACUGGAGAAGUCUUGAUUACAAUAAUCAUAUUGCUUUUUACUUUUCAACACUAUUGGAUCUUGUGUCAUACCAGCUUUAGAUGGUGGAUGGAGUAUAUGGAGGUGUUAAGAAUUGCACAAGAGGUGUUCCUGCUACCUCUCUAUAUGUAGACAACGUCACUGUUGUUGUGACGUUCUUAUUUCUAAGCCUUAAUUUAUGUCCGUUACAACGCCCUUAGGGAGGAAAACUACACCCUCAAAUGGACUGUAGAAGUCCAGAUUACAAUAAUGGUACUUUCAGCACCAUUGCACGGUUUGGUUGUCUUGCCCAGCUCUUAAUGGUCCAAAAUGCUGUACAAUGGAUUAUGUUUUAAAAAUUGAAGAUAAAAGAUUAAGUUUUGAAUAUCUUCUUUUUUUCUCUGAAGAUGGCAAAUCAAAUUAUUAAUUCACGAGCUCUAGAUAAUAAAAAUAUC
rnacentral:lncRNA from 1 species